GUAAGCAUUGGGGAGGUCGAAGGUCUCCAUCACGCGGAAGAGGCGCGAUGAACCUGCGGAGACAGAAACGUUAGUUAUGUAAGCCACUGUUGCAUCAUAGAUGAAGAGAGUCUCGGGUUUGAGUCCCUGUAGCUAAGGAUCGGAUCCCUUAUAUGCCGAUAAAUAAGAGUCUGAAGAGCAUCAGCCGAUCAGAAGGAGCUACGGUGAAGACGAUUAUUGCGUUCUUGCCAAGUCCAGAAUAUGCAGCUUUUCCAGCGCUGCACCAUGGAGGACCAGAGAGACCAAGAGUAAGGGCAUACGAAGAGUAGAUGAUCUCGCGACUCUGGUGAUGAGUUACAAAGCAGACAGUUAGGUGGGGUUUGAAGGCCCCAUCUCAGUAAUCUAUCUCUUGUUGGACACCUAUUUAGGACGAACAGCUAAGAGAAAACAAAUGCUUAGGAAUGCCUCCCUUGAUCCAGACGAUCUGUUCCCAUGGCACCACAGCUCCUUGACCAGAUAGUGAACUGUUGUUAGAAAACAUGGAGCUGCAGUUGAAUCUCUGACCAGGGUUGAGGAAGCGUCCAGUGGUUAUCCCUAUAUAACGAUGAGACAGUGGCAUUUUCCGUGAUCCCAAGAGAGAAGGUCGAUUCUUGAGCAAGGAAAGUUCUAAGGGAGCCAAACGUUGACCAGUUAUCAGUCCAAAAACGACAUUCCAGAAGGAGUUUAGAUCACCAUUGAGUAUUGUAUCCUUGAACCAAGCCACCCAGAUCGAGCCAGAUUGGAAAAACAGGAGCCAAAUCAGCUUCAACAUACAUGCUUUAGUCGAAGUUGUACUGACAUGUACCGUGGUAAGGGAAAGGCACCGUGAGGGCUCCAGCCAUGAGAAGAUGUGUGGUGAUUGGGUCAUUAUUGAUAAGUGUGAAGUAUUGAUAGCCUAUUGUGCAAACUGUGAACUUAUGAUUGAUUAAGUAUUGUAAUGUAGUAGUAUGGACGAAUGGAUGAUGUAUGGAUCUCAUUUACUAUCUCUGAAAUAACU